GGACGGGUGGCCGAGUCCGGUUGAUGGCGCCAGUCUUGAAAACUGGUACAGGUGCAAGCCUGUCCUGGGUUCAAAUCCCAGCCCGUCCGCCA
rnacentral:tRNA from 1 species